CCCAGCUUACGAAUCUGGUCGCGAAUGGUAAUGGUAUCCACAAUGGAUACAUUGAUCAAAUCAAUGCCCCGCAUUGAUCAAAUCAAUGCCCCGGCCGGGAUCAACAUGGCAUCUAAACAAGGAGCAACGCGUGGACUAUGAGGCACUCAAACCCAUAAUGCUUUGCGGCCUGCUUGUCCAACCUCCUCUGCCUCGUCUUAAUAUUUUACAUGUUUUUCGCCUUAAAUAUAUAUAACAAACUUGAGCUUAUGUUGCAACGUUUUCCGAUUUACAUUCACGCUAAUGUUACGAAAGAAAUCUCCAUUUUUACCUACCCUACGCGCUUAUUUGGACCCUAAUGGCUAAAAGCCAUAACUCCGGAGGUGUUCUGGCUGUUUCCGUGCUAUUGGCUGUUUCCGAUGGUGUUCCGUGCUUUUCCGGUGGUGUUCCGAGCUGUUCCUGAGGUUUUCCGUGCAGUUCCGGAGUUGUUCCGGGCUGUUCCGGAGGUGUUCCGCGCUCUUCCGGAGGGGUUCCGGGCUGUUCCGUACUGUUCCGGAGAUGUUCCGCCAUGUUCCGGUGUUCCGGAUUAGUGUUCCGUGUUUUAGUACAUGCCCUGUUCGUUGUUUGUUGAUUUAUAAAUCAAGCUUUCACUUCCACAGACAAAGCCUUCACUUGCAGGGGCCGUUGUAUUAAACCCGCGAUUGUUCUUGUUGUAUAAACUAUUGAGUGUGUUUGCUAGGAGGUUUUCUUCAGUAUCUCUUUCUAUUACAAGCUUUUUUCGAUUUUGACCAUACCAUUUUAGCAUAAUAUCUGUCGCUGUGCCAUUAAACACUUUCCGACCAACUGCCAGCUAACUUCUAAUCGUUUUGAACAAAACUCUUUAAUUGUGAAAGAUUGCCCUUCCACGAGUAACCACUGUUGUCAAUAGAUAAAUUCGAUAUAAGUAUGGAGCCUGCUUAAUUCGGUAGCAUUUUAACGGAAUCA